rnacentral:rRNA from 1 species
GGAGCCGUAGCGAAAGCGAGUUUUAACUGAGCGUUCAGUUACUUGACGUAGACCCGAAACCGGGCGACCUACCCAUGAGCAGGAUGAAGCGAAAGUAAAAUUUCGUGGAGGUCCGAACCCACGAGCGUUGAAAAGCUCGGGGAUGACUUGUGGGUAGCGGUGAAAUUCCAAUCGAGCCCGGAGAUAGCUGGUUCUCCCCGAAAUAGCUUUAGGGCUAGCCUCAAGGUGAGAGAUACGGAGGUAGAGCACUGAAUGUCCUAGGGGGUAUUGCACCUACCGAAGACUAUCAAACUCCGAAUGCCGUCAUCUUAUACUUGGGAGUCAGACUGUGGGUGAUAAGAUUCAUAGUCGAAAGGGCAACAGCCCAGAUCGUCAGCUAAGGUCCCUAAAUGUAAGUUAAGUGGUAAAGGAUGUGGGAUUGCACAGACAACCAGGAUGUUGGCUUAGAAGCAGCCACUCAUUCAAAGAGUGCGUAAUAGCUCACUGGUCGAGUGAUCCUGCGCCGAAGAUUUCCGGGGCUAAAACUUACUACCGAAGCUACGGCAUCAGUAAUGAUGGGUAGGGGAGCUUCCCAUACGGGUUGAAGCAUGACCGUAAGGACAUGUGGACAGUAUGGGAGUGAGAAUGUUGGCAUGAGUAGCGAGAUGUGGGUGAGAAUCCCACAGGCCGUAAACCCAAGGUUUCCAGGGGAAGGUUCGUCCGCCCUGGGUUAGUCGGGACCUAAGCUGAGGCCGAAAGGCGUAGGUGAUGGACAACAGGUUGAUAUUCCUGUACUACCGAUAACCGUUUGAGAGAAGGGAUGACACAGUAGGAUAAGCUAAGCACACUGUUGGUUAUGUGUGCCCAAGCAUUGAGGCAGUCAAAGUAGGCAAAUCCGCUUUGAUAAUGCUGGGAUGUGAUGGGGAGCGAAAUUUAGUAGCGAAGUAGCUGAUUUCACACUGUCAAGAAAAGUCUCUAUCGAGGUUAAAGGUACCCGUACCGCAAACCGACACAGGUGGGUGAGGAGAGUAUCCUAAGGCCAGCGAGAGAACUGUUGUUAAGGAACUCGGCAAAAUGACCCCGUAACUUAGGGAUAAGGGGUGCCACCAUCAGGUGGCCGCAGAGAAUAGGCCCAAGCGACUGUUUACCAAAAACAUAGGUUUCUGCUAAGUCGCAAGACGAUGUAUAGGAGCUGACGCCUGCCCGGUGCUGGAAGGUUAAGGGGAUCUGUUAGAGCAAUCGAAGCAGUGAACUUAAGCCCCAGUAAACGGCGGCCGUAACUAUAACGGUCCUAAGGUAGCGAAAUUCCUUGUCGGGUAAGUUCCGACCCGCACGAAAGGCGUAACGAUUUGGGCACUGUCUCAACAACAGACUCGGUGAAAUUGUAAUUCCGGUGAAGAUGCCGGAUACCUGCGACAGGACGGAAAGACCCCAUGGAGCUUUACUGUAGCUUGACAUUGGGUCUUGGUACUACAUGUACAGGAUAGGUGGGAGGCUUUGAAACCAGGACGCCAGUUUUGGCGGAGCCAUCCUUGGGAUACCACCCUUGUAGUACUGGGACUCUAACCAUAGGCCAUGAAUCUGGUCUUGGGACACUGUCAGGUGGGCAGUUUGACUGGGGCGGUCGCCUCCCAAAAGGUAACGGAGGCGCUCAAAGGUUCUCUCAGUACGGUCGGAAAUCGUACGUAGAGUGUAAAGGCAAAAGAGAGCUUGAUUGCAAGACAUACAGGUCGAGCAAGGAUGAAAAUCGGACUUAGUGAUCCGGUGGUUCUGCGUGGAAGGGCCAUCGCUCAACGGAUAAAAGCUACCCUGGGGAUAACAGGCUUAUCUCCCCCAAGAGUCCACAUCGACGGGGAGGUUUGGCACCUCGAUGUCGGCUCAUCACAUCCUGGGGCUGUAGUAGGUCCCAAGGGUUGGGCUGUUCGCCCAUUAAAGUGGUACGCGAGCUGGGUUCAGAACGUCGUGAGACAGUUCGGUCCCUAUCCGUCGCAGGCGUAGGAAAUUUGAGAAGACCUGUCCUUAGUACGAGAGGACCGGGAUGGACGUACCUCUGGUGUACCAGUUGUUCUGCCAAGGGCAUGGCUGGGUAGCUAUGUACGGAAUGGAUAAGCGCUGAAAGCAUCUAAGCGCGAAGCCAACUUCAAGAUAAGAUUUCCCACCGCAAGGGUAAGACCCCAGAAAGACUAUCUGGUUGAUAGGUCGAAGGUGUAAGUGCAGCAAUGUAUUUAGCUUAUCGAUACUAAUAGGUCGAGGACUUGACCAA